CAACCCACCUGUGCAGAAUUACACCUGGUACAAGAAGAAUGUAACCUCACCAGUAUUGUCAGGACAGAAUUACAACAUCACUAACAUCAGCUCUGAGGACAGUGGACAUUACCUUUGUGAGGCCAGGAAUAAAAUAGCAUCUGAGAACUCUACAGCUCUGAAGAUCAUUGUAGCAGGGAAACACACCUCAAUUAAGACUGCAGCCGUAGGAAUCAUAAUUGUUGUUCUGGUUCUCAUACUCUGUCUCUCUGGCUUCAUGUGGUUCAGGACGGCAUCCAAAUCCAGCUCAAUAGAAACCAGAGACACCGCAGACGAGGGACAGG